UACGUAGGGGGGCUAGCGUUGUCCGGAUUUAUUGGGCGUAAAGAGCGUGUAGGCGGCCAGGUAGGUCUGCUGUGAAAACUCGAGGCUCAACCUCGAGACGUCGGCGGAAACCAUCUGGCUAGAGUCUGGAAGAGGAGAGUGGAAUUCCUGGUGUAGCGGUGAAAUGCGCAGAUAUCAGGAGGAACACCUGCGGCGAAGGCGGGUUGCUGGGCCGACACUGACGCUGAGGCGCGAAAGCCAGGGGAGCGAACAGG
rnacentral:rRNA from 1 species